GACGAACGCUGGCGGCGUGCUUAACACAUGCAAGUCGAACGGAAAGGCCCUGCUUUUGUGGGGUGCUCGAGUGGCGAACGGGUGAGUAACACGUGAGUAACCUGCCCUUGACUUUGGGAUAACUUCAGGAAACUGGGGCUAAUACCGGAUAGGAGCUCCUGCUGCAUGGUGGGGGUUGGAAAGUUUCGGCGGUGGGGGAUGGACUCGCGGCUUAUCAGCUUGUUGGUGGGGUAGUGGCUUACCAAGGCUUUGACGGGUAGCCGGCCUGAGAGGGUGACCGGCCACAUUGGGACUGAGAGACGGCCCAGACUCCUACGGGAGGCAGCAGUGGGGAAUAUUGCACAAUGGGCGGAAGCCUGAUGCAGCAACGCCGCGUGCGGGAUGACGGCCUUCGGGUUGUAAACCGCUUUCGCCUGUGACGAAGCGUGAGUGACGGUAAUGGGUAAAGAAGCACCGGCUAACUACGUG
rnacentral:rRNA from 1 species